UUGUUAAACUGGGCGUUCAUUGUGUUACGGGGAAGAAAGUGGCGAUCAAGAUCAUAAACAGAGAAAAAUUGAGCGAGUCAGUGUUGAUGAAGGUGGAACGGGAGAUAGCUAUCAUGAAACUGAUAGAACACCCACACGUGCUCGGACUAUCCGAUGUGUAUGAAAA